rnacentral:rRNA from 1 species
GGAUGUGUAUAAAGUGGCGAACGGCUGAGUAACACGUGGGCAACCUGCCCUUUGCACUGGGAUAGCCUCGGGAAACCGAGGUUAAUACCGGAUACUCCAUAUUUGUCGCAUGGCGAAUAUGGGAAAGCUCCGGCGGCAAAGGAUGGGCCCGCGGCCUGUUAGCUAGUUGGUGGGGUAGUGGCCUACCAAGGCAAUGAUGGGUAGCCGGGUUGAGAGACCGACCGGCCAGAUUGGGACUGAGACACGGCCCAGACUCCUACGGGAGGCAGCAGUGGGGAAUCUUGCACAAUGGGCGAAAGCCUGAUGCAGCGACGCCGCGUGCGGGAUGAAGGUCUUCGGGUUGUAAACCGCUUUCAGCAGGGACGAGGCCGCAAGGUGACGGU